AGCAGCCGCGGUAAUUCCAGCUCCAAUAGCGUAUAUUAAAGUUGUUGCAGUUAAAAAGCUCGUAGUUGAAUUUCGGGAUCAAGGAAUCGGUCAUGCCUUGGUAUGUACUGGUUUUAUUGGUUCUCACCUUCUAAAGAACCAUGAUGUCAUUCAUUUGAUGUUAUGGGGAAUUAGGACUGUUACCUUGAAAAAAUUAGAGUGUUUAAAGCAAGCUUACGCUUGAAUACAUUAGCAUGGAAUAAUGAAAUAGGACAUCAGAUUCUAUUUUGUUGGUUUCUAGGAUCGAUGUAAUGAUUAAUAGGGAUAGUUGGGGGCAUUAGUAUUCAAUUGUCAGAGGUGAAAUUCUUGGAUUUAUUGAAGACUAACUACUGCGAAAGCAUUUGCCAAGGAUGUUUUCAUUAAUCAAGAACGAAAGUUAGGGGAUCGAAGACGAUCAGAUACCGUCGUAGUCUUAACCAUAAACUAUGCCGACUAGGGAUCGGAUGAUGUUAAUUUUUUAAUGACUCAUUCGGCACCUUACG
rnacentral:rRNA from 1 species